GGAGUUCAAAGAUCGGGUCGUCUCGCUGAUAUGGAAACCAAAUGGUUGCGUCUUCAUUAAAUCCAUUGUAGAAGCAUCGAAAGUACUCAGCUACCUUUGUAGCAGAAUACGCGCAACCCGGAAAAGCUGACGCCGCUUCGCCAAAGGACAUGCAUCGGCGACGUUCGGUAGUGUCCUCCGCCGAUUCGAUAUUGGGGAACGUCAUGUGGUCUAUCGGCUGCUGGGUGAU
rnacentral:lncRNA from 1 species